UUUGUGUUAAUGUGUUUGAAAAACUUAGGAAACCCUGAUUUGAAAUUAACAAGAAACCUCAAUACCUUUUCAUGCAGUUUUUGUACUGAAAACCAGUGGCGGCUGCUGGUCUUUCAAUGAGGGGAAGCUCAUUUUUCUGGCCUACAUCAUAAUUGUAUUUGUUUAUUAGUAUGUAACAGAACAGAGUCGCCAAACACAACGGCAGUCGUUUUUAAUAAAGACAGAAGUCGCUGAGGAUCGGUAAAGUCUCUGGAGCAGUUAAGAACAACGGAAUGAAUAACUUGGAAAAUGCUCUGGUAGAGGUUUUAUUCUUCAAGAUCGCUGAUUCGCUUGUUUAGCUGUCAAUCAAAAAAGGAUUUCGCCUCAGACAGCUCAUCCAAUCAUGGAUGCAGAAGCUUGCAGUCCGGGAGAAAGUCGGGACCGCCCUCUCGCCAUAGAACUCCAGUGAAGCUUAGCUUCCAUUGGGCGGGACAAAGCCCAGCAUUUAUCCAAUGAGCGUCUAGUUUCGCUGCUGGAACAACCCACUUUUAGCUUCCACAUUGAAGUCAGCAGAAGCCCAGCGUCCGGCUGUUUAAAGCGCUGAGGCGCUGCGAGGAUGAAUGAGAACGAAGUUAUGCCGGUUACCUAUAAUUAUCAGCUUCUUAUCACAGUGUCUGAACAAAAGAUGAAGGCUUUCUAGUGCGUAUUUAGUUAAUGAAAUGUACACACAGCAGUACGUAUUUCACCACUUUUUCUUUUUUUGGGGGGUGACAUUUUAAGGGAAGCCGAGCUUCCCUUGCAGUCUUAGAGCAAUCGCCACUGCUGAAAACAUAGUUCAGAUUGGGCUGAACUCAAAGCAGAUAUGUAGAUACAGAAAUCGAGUUUUAAAAAAGAGAGGACAGGGAGGGAAGAGAUUACAGGGCAGGAAGGAACAGGAGACGAGAGAGAGAUUUGGAGAUGGGAACAGUGGGAGACUGCAGGUGAUGAUUGAGUGUCUAGAAGAACAAAGUCCCCAUCGUGAGGCACCCGGGUGACGACUUGGACAAGACGGC